GUAGGUGGCAAGCGUUGUCCGGAAUUAUUGGGCGUAAAGCGCGCGCAGGUGGUUCUUUAAGUCUGAUGUGAAAGCCCCCGGCUCAACCGGGGAGGGUCAUUGGAAACUGGGGAACUUGAGUGCAGGAGAGGAAAGUGGAAUUCCACGUGUAGCGGUGAAAUGCGUAGAUAUGUGGAGGAACACCAGUGGCGAAGGCGACUUUCUGGCCUGUAACUGACACUGAGGCGCGAAGGCGUGGGGAGCAAACAGGGAUUAGAUACCCUGGUAGUCCACGCCGUAAACGAUGAGUGCUAAGUGUUGGGGGGGUUUCCGCCCCCUCAGUGCUGCAGCUAACGCAUUAAGCACUCCGCCUGGGAGUACGGUCGCAAGACUG
rnacentral:rRNA from 1 species